CUGGGGCUCUUCCUGCAGCACCGGGCGCGGCCAACCCUCGCUUCCCCAGGGCAGGGCUCAGCUCGGGUCAAUGCAACCAGCCAAGUCAGGCCCGGAGCGGGCCGGCUCUGCCCGCCAGUCCAAACCUCUGGACCCUCGCCAGCGGGGAUGGGCGUGGGCCCCGGCGGCCACCGCCCCGCCAACUCGAGCACUGGAGGAGCGCACCCGCUACGCCAGCCCCGGACCUACCUGGAGGGGAGAGCAGAGCUCCUGGACAGCGGCCACGGGCCUGAGGGCGGACGCUGAGGCGGCCAGAGUCCGUCCCAGCAACCCCAAGUAUCCCUGGUGGGGCAGAGCGGGGAGACGAACGGGGGGGCUGCCGCGGGCCAGCGCGGCCCGUCCCAGGGGUCGUGAGGACCUGGCUCUCCCCUUAACACCAGGCCACCGCCGCCGCCGCCGCCAUUUUGCCUUCCACUCAGUGUCGCCGCCGCCGCACUCCGCUGCAGGUUUCCCGGAUGUGGGCAUUUCCCGGCGUCGCUUGCGCGGGGGCCGAGGACUGGGGGCUUUUGCCCGCCCGGCUGCUGCGAGGGAGCGCGCAGCCUGCGGCCUCCGGGCUUCGUUGCGUCGCCCGCAGCUCUGAUCGUUCGUGAGCGUCGCCCCACGUCGCUCCCGCCUGCCCCUGCCCAUACGACUCGCCCGCGCCCGUGGGUUAAGGCUGUCUCCCGCCCAGCCUACUUGGUUGAUUCAAUCCUUUUCCCCAUUGAUCUAUUUCUCUGGACCGAGUAGGGAUGUGCAUUUCACGGAGCUACGUUCUCAGAAGGGAACAACUGAGUUGCUCUGGGAAACCUCCCUGUGGACCUCAGAAUUCCAGAUUUUUGGCGCUUUGAAAUAAAAUUUUAUUCUUGCUUAGCGUUCUUUCCCCGAACAAGCCGGUGAGCUUCCAGCAUCUGUAUUUUCUGAAUCCGGCAGAUAAGAAAUGCUUGAGCCAGGACCGAUUGAUUAGCAGCGGUUUAGAGAUCUUAUCUGUCAACCGCAUCCGUAGAAGGAGAUCGUUAUUGCCAUAAUUGGAAUACCGGUGACGGUGUGACAAGAGGUUUUACUUCUGGUUAAGCUGAAUGUAAAGUGUGGGAUGGGAUCGUUGGGUUUGAUGUAUAAGGUACGGUCCACCCUUUGUGAAGAUCGCCUUUGCCAGUUUUUCCUCUAGGAAAUAUACAGUUAGUGUUUUCAAGUACCUUCUUUCGUAAUUUUUCUACUACAGAGUACAAAAAAAUUAAAGACAUCUUUUUCUGACGUUAAAAAAAAAAAAAA
rnacentral:lncRNA from 1 species